UACAGAGGGUGCUAGCGUUGUCCGGAAUUAUUGGGCGUAAAGAGCUCGUAGGCGGUUUGUCGCGUCGAAUGUGAAAACCCGGGGCUCAACCCCGGGCCUGCAUUCGAUACGGGCAGACUAGAGUUCGGUAGGGGAGUCUGGAAUUCCUGGUGUAGCGGUGAAAUGCGCAGAUAUCAGGAGGAACACCGGUGGCGAAGGCGGGUCUCUGGGCCGAUACUGACGCUGAGGAGCGAAAGCGUGGGGAGCGAACAGG
rnacentral:rRNA from 1 species